GACGAACGCUGGCGGCGUGCUUAACACAUGCAAGUCGAACGGAAAGGCCCUGCUUUUGUGGGGUGCUCGAGUGGCGAACGGGUGAGUAACACGUGAGUAACCUGCCCUUGACUUUGGGAUAACUUCAGGAAACUGGGGCUAAUACCGGAUAGGAGCUCCUGCUGCAUGGUGGGGGUUGGAAAGUUUCGGCGGUUGGGGAUGGACUCGCGGCUUAUCAGCUUGUUGGUGGGGUAGUGGCUUACCAAGGCUUUGACGGGUAGCCGGCCUGAGAGGGUGACCGGCCACAUUGGGACUGAGGUACGGCCCAGACUCCUACGGGAGGCAGCAGUGGGGAAUAUUGCACAGUGGGCGGAAGCCUGAUGCAGCAACGCCGCGUGCGGGAUGACGGCCUUCGGGUUGUAAACCGCUUUCGCCUGUGACGAAGCGUGAGUGACGGUAAUGGGUAAAGAAGCACCGGCUAACUACGUG
rnacentral:rRNA from 1 species